CGCGUAGGUGGUAGUGAAAGUCUAUGGUGGAAUCUUAGGGCUUAACCCUAAAACUGCCUUGGAAACUUCAUUACUUGAGUCAGUGAGAGGAGGGUAGAAUUCCUGGUGUAGCGGUGAAAUGCGUAGAUAUCAGGAGGAAGGCCGGUGGCGAAGGCGGCCCUCUGGCGCUGAACUGACGCUGAGGCGCGAAAGCGUGGGUAGCAAACAGGAUUAGAUACCCUGGUAGUCCACGCCCUAAACGGUGGGUACUAGGUGUAGGGCUCGUAAGGGUUCUGUGCCGAAGGGAAAUCAUUAAGUACCCCGCCUGGGGAGUACGGCCGCAAGGUUGAA
rnacentral:rRNA from 1 species